rnacentral:lncRNA from 1 species
CUCGGCGCAGGCUCCUCCGGCUCCGCCAGCCCGGCCGGGCGCAGAGGAAACGCGGCUGCCAGGGCGCCGUCGCGGCGGGAGGCGAGAGCGCGGGGAAGGGGCUCCUACUCACCCGGGCCGCCGCCGCCGCCGCCACCGCCACCACCGCCGCUUGGGCGGCCCAUCCCCGCGGCGGGGGCCUGUCGCCGCGCCGCGCCGCGUCGCUCCAGUCCCCACCGCCCGCCGGGCCGGCCCCUCCCCCUGCCCAACGUCUGCGCUCUGGGCCGAUCCUCAGACCCGGCCUCGGCCGCCGCCGCCGCCGCCGCCGCAGCGCUACGUGGCCGCCGCUCCGACGUCUCGCGACUCCCUUCCGAGCGCGCGAGGCCGAGCGGGGCCGCGGAGCGGGCGGCGCGCGGGGCGGGCGGCGGGGGAGGGGGUGUGCUGUAGGGAUGUCGUGCGCGAAGGGGGCAGGGAGGCCGGCGGGAGCGCGCGCGCGCGCACGCCCCUGCACGCGCCCCCCCUCCCCCCCGCGCGGUCGGGAUCCCGACACCUCCCCCCCUACACACCCCAUCCCCGGCUAUGGGGGUCGGCGCGCAUGCGCGGCCCUCGGCUCGGCCUGGGCGCACCUUUUCUCCCUCCUGCCACAAUGUGAGCGCUCAGCCGAGCAGAUAACCGCCGGCUGCCUGCUCCACCCCCGGCCCUUGCCCACUCCGCCCACUCCCGAGCGCCCAGAGGAUGCUGACUGCAGGGAUGGAGGAACUUUUUCUACUGCAGAAGAACAAUGUGGUGCCUAUGGGAACAUGCCAUGUGACCAUUCUCUAUUCCUCCCAGCAAGGCACGCUGGGUGAUGUGAAGAACCCAGGAAGGAAAGCUGGAGGAGAGCAUGGUGGGUGGCAGAGCGGGAUUUGGGGAAGCCCUGAGCCCUGCUCCAUCUGACCCUCAGUACAUCUGUCUCCGUCACUGUCUACCUGCCCUGCUCACGCGUGCCCCUCACUCACCCCAUGGCAACAGGCCUAUCUUUCCCCCAACAUCAAAAGAGCUAUUUCAGUGACUGUCGCUGUACCUGGCCCAUAGCCUCUAGUCUAUAUAUGUCUGUCAAAUGAAUUGGCUAUAAACAUGAAAAGGUUUCUCCUG